UACGGGGGGGGCAAGCGUUGUUCGGAAUUACUGGGCGUAAAGGGCUCGUAGGCGGCCAACUAAGUCGGAUGUGAAAUCCCCAGGCUUAACCUGGGAGCUGCAUCCGAUACUGGAUGGCUUGAAUUCGGGAGAGGGAUGCAGAAUUCCAGGUGUAGCGGUGAAAUGCGUAGAUAUCUGGAGGAAUACCGGUGGCGAAGGCGGCAUCCUGGACCGACAUUGACGCUGAGGAGCGAAAGCUAGGGGAGCAAACAGG
rnacentral:rRNA from 1 species